CCAGCUCCAAUAGCGUAUAUUUAAGUUGUUGCAGUUAAAAAGCUCGUAGUUGGAUUUCGGGUGGGUUUCGUCGGUCCGCCUCUGGUGUGCACUGAUUGGAUCCGCCUUUCUGUCGAGGACGGGUUCCUGGGCUUCAUUGUCUGGGACUCGGGCUCGACGAGGUUACUUUGAGUAAAUUAGAGUGUUCAAAGCAGGCGAUCGCCCUGAAUACAUUAGCAUGGAAUAGCACGAUAGGACUCUGGCCUAUCUUGCUGGUCUGUAGGACCGGAGUAAUGAUUAAGAGGGACAGUCGGGGGCAUUCGUAUUUCAUUGUCAGAGGUGAAAUUCUUGGAUUUAUGAAAGACGAACUUCUGCGAAAGCAUUUGCCAAGGAUGUUUUCAUUGAUCAAGAACGAAAGUUGGGGGCUCGAAGACGAUUAGAUACCGUCGUAGUCUCAACCAUAAACGAUGCCGACCAGGGAUUGGCGGGCGUUCUUUUGAUGACCCCGCCAGCACCUUGAGAGAAAUCAGAGUCUUUGGGUUCCGGGGGGAGUAUGGUCGCAAGGCUGAAACUUAAAGGAAUUGACGGAAGGGCACCACCAGGCGUGGAGCCUGCGGCUUAAUUCGACUCAAC
rnacentral:rRNA from 1 species